UACGAAGGGUGCAAGCGUUAAUCGGAAUUACUGGGCGUAAAGGGCGCGUAGGCGGCCACCGCAAGUCAGUUGUGAAAUCUCUGGGCUUAACCCAGAACGGUCAGCUGAUACUGCGGGGCUAGAGUGCAGAAGGGGCAACUGGAAUUCUCGGUGUAGCGGUGAAAUGCGUAGAUAUCGAGAGGAACACCUGCGGCGAAGGCGGGUUGCUGGGCUGACACUGACGCUGACAGCGCGAAAGCUAGGGGAGCGAACGGG
rnacentral:rRNA from 1 species